rnacentral:rRNA from 1 species
CCUACGGGUGGCUGCAGUGGGGAAUAUUGGACAAUGGGCGCAAGCCUGAUCCAGCCAUGCCGCGUGGGUGAAGAAGGCCUUCGGGUUGUAAAGCCCUUUUGUUGGGAAAGAAAAGCAGCCGGCCAAUACCCGGUUGUUCUGACGGUACCCAAAGAAUAAGCACCGGCUAACUUCGUGCCAGCAGCCGCGGUAAUACGAAGGGUGCAAGCGUUACUCGGAAUUACGGGGCGGAAAGCGUAAGUCCGUGGUGAAAGCCCUGGGCUCAACCUGGGAACUGCAGUGGAUACUGGAUCACUAGAGUGUGGCAGAGGGUAGUGGAAUUCCCGGUGUAGCAGUGAAAUGCGUAGAGAUCGGGAGGAACAUCAGUGGCGAAGGCGACUGCCUGGGCCAACACUGACACUGAGGCACGAAAGCGUGGGGAGCAAACAGGAUUAGAUACCCUUGUAGUC